CAAACGACUCUCGGCAACGGAUAUCUCGGCUCACGCAUCGAUGAAGAACGUAGCAAAAUGCGAUACUNNNUGUGAAUUGCAGAAUCCCGUGAACCAUCGAGUUUUUGAACGCAAGUUGCGCCCGAAGCCAUUCGGCCGAGGGCACGUCUGCCUGGGCGUCACGC
rnacentral:rRNA from 1 species